rnacentral:lncRNA from 1 species
AUGUGGGCUUAGGAAGCUCAGGUAGAUGAGGGAAAGAAGGCAAUUCAGGCACCUUGGGCAAUUCAGGCACUUUGGGCAACUCAGGCUUUGGAAGUUCAGGUACUUCGGGCUCUUUUGGCAUCUCAGGCACUUUGGGCAACUCAGGCUUUGGAAGUUCAGGUACUUCGGGCUCUUUUGGCAUCUCAGGCACUUUGGGCAACUCAGGCUUUGGAAGUUCAGGUACUUCAGGCUCUUUUGGCACCUCAGGUGUCGGAAUCUC